rnacentral:tRNA from 1 species
UGUCCUGUAGCUCAGUUGGUUAGAGCACCACACUGAUAAUGUGGGGGUCGGCAGUUCGAGUCUGCCCGGGACAA